rnacentral:rRNA from 1 species
AACGAACGCUGGCGGCAUGCCUAACACAUGCAAGUCGAACGAACCCUUCGGGGUUAGUGGCGCACGGGUGCGUAACGCGUGGGAAUCUGCCCUUUGCUUCGGAAUGACAGUUAGAAAUGACUGCUAAUACCGGAUGAUGUCUUCGGACCAAAGACUUAUCGGCAAGGGAUGAGCCCGCGUAGGAUUAGGUAGUUGGUGGGGUAAAGGCCUACCAAGCCGACGAUCCUUAGCUGGUCUGAGAGGAUGAUCAGCCACACUGGGACUGAGACACGGCCCAGACUCCUACGGGAGGCAGCAGUGGGGAAUAUUGGACAAUGGGCGCAAGCCUGAUCCAGCAAUGCCGCGUGAGUGAUGAAGGCCUUCGGGUCGUAAAGCUCUUUUACCAGGGAUGAUAAUGACAGUACCUGGAGAAUAAGCUCCGGCUAACUCCGUGCCAGCCGCCGCCGUAAAAC